AUGAAAAUCCUAGGCUGGAACUGCCGUGGCAUGCUCUCCCCCACGGCAGUUCGCGAGCUCUUGGAUUUACAAGGGCGCAUCAAGGCAGAUUUGAUUUUUCUUUCUGAGUCUCAUUUGAAUAAAUGUAAAGCCGAUGAGUUGCGUACUGUUCUAAGUUUUGAGUCGAUGUUUGUAGCUGAGAGUGAUGGUCGGGCCGGUGGCCUUGUUUUAUUUUAUAAUGAGAUGAAUAAAGUCGUCUUGAACUAUGUGUCCGCUAAUUUCAUUGAUGUUUUGUUUAUGAAUGAGGAAACUGUACAAUGGCGGUUUACGGGUUUUUAUGGUCAUCCGAAUUGGAGUGAACGUAAUUUGUCUCGGGAUGAUAUUCGCAAUUUACAUAAUAAGGGCGAUCACCCUUGGGUUAUUUUGGGGGAUUUCAAUGAAAUUUUACUCUCCUCUGAGAAAGAGGGCAGUAACGCGAGACCAAAUGCAAUGAUGAGAGAUUUCCGUAAUUGUUUGGGAGAAUGUGGGCUGGCAGAUAUGGGUUAUAUUGGUGAUCUCUUCACCUGGAGGAGAGGCGAAGUUAGGGAGAGACUUGAUCGGGCAGUUUGUAAUGUGGAAUGGGCAAAUAAAUUUCCACGUGCUGCAGUCAUAAACGAAGAGCAUGUGCACUCUGACCAUCGCCCACUAGUUUUGGACACAGAUUAUUAUGAUGGAAAUAUAUUCAAUCAAUCAUAG
rnacentral:rRNA from 1 species